UACGUAGGGUCCGAGCGUUGUCCGGAAUUAUUGGGCGUAAAGAGCUCGUAGGCGGUGUGUCGCGUCGGCCGUGAAAACCUGCAGCUUAACUGUGGGCUUGCGGUCGAUACGGGCAUCACUGGAGUUCGGCAGGGGAGACUGGAAUUCCUGGUGUAGCGGUGAAAUGCGCAGAUAUCAGGAGGAACACCGGUGGCGAAGGCGGGUCUCUGGACCGAUACUGACACUGAGGAGCGAAAGCGUGGGGAGCGAACAGG
rnacentral:rRNA from 1 species